rnacentral:rRNA from 1 species
UACGAAGGGGGCUAGCGUUGCUCGGAAUCACUGGGCGUAAAGGGUGCGUAGGCGGGUCUUUAAGUCAGGGGUGAAAUCCUGGAGCUCAACUCCAGAACUGCCUUUGAUACUGAAGAUCUUGAGUUCGGGAGAGGUGAGUGGAACUGCGAGUGUAGAGGUGAAAUUCGUAGAUAUUCGCAAGAACACCAGUGGCGAAGGCGGCUCACUGGCCCGAUACUGACGCUGAGGCACGAAAGCGUGGGGAGCAAAUAGG